AGAAAAAUGUUGUCAUACCCCUCGCAUCUGGCCGAUUGAAUCAAUUAAUCUUGGCUCUUUAGUCAUUUUGUUGUCUGUUUGAAUGUUACCACCAAGGGUAUUUUGGUACUUUCGCCACAAACACAGCCUUACAUCCUGGUUUUUCCUCAUUGUUUAAUCCCAAACCCUCAAUUUAACCUAGUUCUUAAAUAGACGGUCGUUGUUCAUCAAAAUCAGUACCAAGUGAACGAAUUGAAGUUGAAUCUCAGUGAGUUGUAGAAUGGAUCAUCAUUUAUGGAAGAUUAGAGGUGAUGAUCAGUACUUCAAACCAAGCGAUAUGUACUAUGAUAAUGACAGACAAUUUUCAAUGAGGGUGCACCAUGGAGGUAAUUUUGUUGAUAAUCCAAGUCGGGAAUAUGUAGAUGAAAAAAUUAACUUCAUUGAUCAUGUAAACAUUCUUGUACUGAAUAUGGAUGUUUUAGAGGAGAUGAUUAAGAAGUUAGGGUAACAUAUUCUACAUUCAUUAUAAGGAACCUUAUAUGUUUUUAGAUUUUGGGCUUGGAAUACUAAGAUGCGAUACUAAUUUCGAACCUAUGUUUGAUCAUGUGUGCCAAGGUGUUAAGAUGAUUGACAUGUAUGUUGAACACUGGAAGUCAAUAGUUAUGUUGCAAUUUGUAUAA